UAAAAACAAACACAACAAUAAAUAUAAAACAUCCAUCUUAACUAUAGUCAAAAUAUUGAAAUACCAAUUGCACACAUCCCUACAUGUUCAGGAAAAAAAACAAUUAAAAUCACCGGUCAAACGAUUCCAUAGGUUUGUUUGUUCGUGUACUUCAUACGACGUUGCUAUAGUAUGUUCAUCAACAAUCCAAUCAUGCUUGCAAUAUAACCUUGCAUCUUUCGUCAGGACUCGUACUAACAAAAGAAAAACAUAGAAAAAGAUAAAAAUACGUUAUAGCAAAUUAAUUUAUCAUUCCGAAAUCGUGAAAAUAAAACAUGUCGAAUAUAGAUAUGCUUUAUAUUGCAAUAUGUCUUAUGCUGUUGGUUCUAUUAGGUCAAAAUUGAAAGCACUGCUAUAAACGAUAUGCUAUAUAAUAAUUAUCAAGCUAUCUGGAGGGAAAUUUGUGUCAAUGUGCGACAUUUGAGAUGCAAUCACACCUUCCACCCGAAUAGUUCUAAACAAACUAUAAAAAUGGCAGCUAUUAACAUUUUGUUUUUAUCAUUUUUCUCUUUAAGUCUUUGAAAGUGGUUAUUGUUGUAAUAGAACAGUUUGCUGCCAAACAGUGCAACGUAUCUCAACCAGUACUGUCGAAUUAUAUAUCAGUAGUUACGGCGGUACAUUAAAACAUGUGUAUACAGAGUAACAUCACAAAAUGGUUGCUCCGUUGGCUUGUAUACAAAGUUGUUGAUGUGUUUAUAAGUUAUUGCAAGCGCAAACUAUUGAAGAAAUUGGUAACGUCUGGUCAUACAGUUCUUUAACUGUUUUGACGCAAUUGACGAUUUCCAAUUUUCGGCUUUAAGCGUUCCUUGAUAAGAUUUAUUGAGAAAAGUACUUCUGGCGCAUGAAAUGCAUAACGCGGCAUUUUUACAACAUUUAGCUGUCCCCGAGGUUAUCAUUCGCUCAAUUGUUAGUACUUCGAUAAUGAUUUAAUGCUCAGUGUAAUUAUAACUUCCACUUGUUUAAUUGUUUGAGAAAAUAUUGCAUAUACAUGAUAUAGGGUCGAAGAAAAAAUAGUCGAUCCAUGCAGUAAGUAAAUGGUAGAGAAAUAAACAAUAUCCCCUAAAAAGAAUAUAGUGAAUAAAUCUAGUUGGAAAGGUUAUGUACAAAUAAAACUUUUAAAGAGACUCAACGACCAUUUUCGAAAAUGGGUAGGAAAAAGCGUGUUCCAAUAAAACGUAUGCUAUAAUUAAGCUCAAAACUAUUACCUUUUCUUGUUCUUAAUUUUAGCAGUACACUCCGCAUCAUGCUCAUCUCUUGCUUAUAUGGUAUUAAGUUUAUAUGCUCUGGUCAUACGCACAUACAAUAAGAAAAUGAUACCUUGAAUUAAUUAUUUGCAUAAUUUUCUUUAUUAGCAUCAAGAUAAAACUUUACUUCAAUAAAUUUGAAAUGUCAUUAUUCAUCCACUUGUAUAUAUAAUGCAAACAAUAAGUAAAUAAAUAAGCUUUAAAAUGUUUGUAUGUUGCUUUAAUAUAAUUAAUGA
rnacentral:lncRNA from 1 species